CAGUAGCCGCGGUAAUACGUAGGUGGCAAGCGUUGUCCGGAAUUAUUGGGCGUAAAGGGCUCGCAGGCGGUUUCUUAAGUCUGGUGUGAAAGCCCCCGGCUCAACCGGGGAGGGUUAUUGGAAACUGGGAAACUUGAGUGCAGAAGAGGAGAGUGGAAUUCCACGUGUAGCGGUGAAAUGCGUAGAGAUGUGGAGGAACACCAGUGGCGAAGGCGACUCUCUGGUCUGUAACUGACGCUGAGGAGCGAAAGCGUGGGGAGCGAACAGGAUUAGAUACCCCAGUAGUCCCUGUCUCUUAUAA
rnacentral:rRNA from 1 species